UGUCUAUUUGGCACUUUACUUUUUUUUUUUUUUUUUUUUUUUUCUCUUUUUGGGGAAGGGAGAAGGCGAUGCUCGGAGCAGCUAAUCCGGGCUGCAAGGCUGCACUGCAAAUGUGCAAAUGGACCCGUGCAGCCAUUAAGGAGCGCGGCCUCCCCUCUCCCUUCCCCUCCCCUCUCCCCUCCCCAGCUCUUGCACAAACGCGACCCGGACCGCUAAGUGCGUGCCACAGGUCACGAAAAAUGGGAAAUAAAGUUUGAAGCUCCUGGAGCCGUACUCCCCCACCACCACCACCCGCUCCCCUGCUCGAGGACUGCAGGGGGCACGACCCGCGCGCUCCUCCCUUCCCUCCAGGGUCGGCCUUCGUGGGAGCUGCCACGCGCUAGGCCUCUGCUGUGGAAUCUGGCUCGGUUGCUGCACCAGCUUCUGCGAGUGCGCGUGUCGGGACCCGGGCGGCGGGCAGAGCCGGUCCUGGCCUCCCAGGGCAGCCCCUCUGCAUGGCCGUGGCCUCCAGGCAACACCUGCCUCCGCAAGGCGUCAAGGCUGCAGCAAGGAGGCCCAGGCGCAGCCCAGGCGACACCUGCCUCCACAAGGCGUCAAGGCUGCAGCAAGGAGGCCCGCGUGCGCGUGCGCUAGGGACGGCCUUCCCCUCCCUUGCAGGCCUCCUCUGGGGCCGCCGCCGUGCUCCUUUCCUACCAGAUGCAAGUGCUCUUUUCCUACCAGAUGCAAGUGCUCAUUUCCUACCAAAUACAAGUGCUCCGUUCCUACCAGAUGCAAAUGCUCCUUUCCCACCAGAUGCAAGUGCUCCUUUCCCACCAAAUACAAGUGCUCCUUUCCUACCAGAUGCAAGCGCCUUUCCUACCAGAUGCAAGCGCCUUUCCUACCAGAUGCAAGUGCUCCUUUUCCACCAAAUACAAGUGCUCCUUUCCUACCAGAUGCAAGCGCCUUUCCUACCAGAUGCAAGCGCCUUUCCUAUCAGAUGCAAGUGCUCCUUUCCUACCAGAUACAAGUAUCACAAAAGAAUUGGAGUGAUUGAAGUUAUGAUAGACAUUGUUAAGGUAAAGGAGGCCUUUUUCCGAAAUUACUGCCUGGGGCCUAGAAUUUAAAUAUAUCACAGAUGGAAAUACUGUAUUAAAAAUCCUGCUUCAAAAUGACCAUGAGAUUACCCCCAGAGAAGCUGACCACCCCACAGUUUCUUCCGUUGGUAUAGUGACCAAAUUCUCCAAACCAAAAAUCAGGACACAUGGCUUGCCGCGUACUCAAGAACAAAGGGACAAACCCCAUGAAGAUAACUUCUGGAUAUUUCUGAUUUCUAAACUUAUGUUAAUGGCCUACUUGUGCUGAGCAAUCCCCUGCAAGGUGGUGGGGAGUAACAACAGAGGAAAACUAGGCCACGAGGAAUUCAGUCUGGCAAGAGUCUAGCGAGCUGGGCAUUGCGUUACAGUGUGGCGUGGCGUGGUGGGGUAGGCCGAGCAAGUGCGGGCCAGGAGCCCCUAUGGCAAUACGGACAGGUUUUCCAGAAAAAGUCACAGCCUAGCAGAUUCUUGAAGGACAGCCAUCCCUGGUGUGUCAUUCCACUUUUCCUCUGGGAAAAUGAUCCAAUCAGAGAAAGACCGGUGGAGGCUCUCAGCAACACCUGGCCUUCGUCCUGCAGAGAUCAUCCAUGAAGCCUCAAGAACUUCGUGUCGGCGGUUCCCAAGCUGUAGUUCAGGGCGGGAGAUCUUCCGCGGGCACUCACAGGUAAAAACGAGACCACUACCACGUAUCUGGGCCAAGAAACCGUCGGUGCCCCCAGCCGAGACGGAGGCGGAUGCAGUCCUGGACUGGAGACGACGCUCAGUAAGCCAGUACUCUUCCGGGACCUCUCUGCACCUGCUCCCCAAAGGGGGCCAUCCCAGUAGAAGCUUCGCUGUUCCUCACGUUUCCACCACGUGGUCACUGCUUCAUUUCCAUGAGGAAUCCCUUCUUUCCAGCUUCACUUAAUCUCAUCACCCUCCACCACUGCCCUCUUCCCGGGCCACCCUGCUCUACCCUCUUGACACCCACCAACCACCAAAUCUGUCCCUCACGUGGCAUUUCAAUUUCCUUGGCACCUCAAACUAAAGUAUUAGCUCAUUCCUUUAUUAUCCUUCGUAGUGAUGUAUUUAAACCCAAACUUAUUGCCCCCAAAUGACUUCAGAUCCCUCCAUUCCUAAAUGUUGUGAAGCUAAAAUGGUUUUACAUGGAAAACAUUUUAAACAAGUCACCGCAUUCAUUCUUUAGAGGUCUUUCAAGGCAUCCUAUCACGUCUCAGUGAAGGUCAUGUAAAGCCUCUCUCACUGGACUCUUAAUUCUAGGAAACAAACUGAGGGUGGCGGCGGGAGGGGAGGUAGGUAGGGGCAAUGGGGUUUUGGGGUGAGGGCCAUGAAGAAGGGCACGUGACGUAAGGAGCCCUGGGUGUUGCGUGCAACUGAGGAAUCCCUAAAUUCCACCCCCGGAAACUAAAAAUACGAUGUAUGUAUGUUAACUAAAUUGAAUUUAAAUUAAAAUUUAAAGAAAAUAAAAAGUAAAAAUAAAA